rnacentral:lncRNA from 1 species
CGGCGACACCCAUCAACAAGUCUACAGCCUAAACCAAGUCCAGAAAUCAAGAGAAACAUGCAAAACUGUACACAAGACACAACAAAAACUACCUAGAAAACAAAAAAUUUAACGCAGAAAACAUAAACUAAGAAAGGAAAAUCAGAGUCUCCCCCAAUAGACCACACUUAAACUACAUAGUGUCCUCAAUGUGUCACAAGCAUCAGAUCAGAAAUCAGAACAAUCAAAGAUCAUGGACAAGUGCAAUAAAAGUAGGGAAAGGGGAGAGAAGGGAAAAAGGAAACUCCCCUGAUCAUGGUGGCAGUUGCCAAUUUUGGACUUUCAGGGAGAUCUCUUCCACCACUGAAUUCAGCAAGGAAGUCUUGAGGAAGAAUUGCUUCAUCAUCCAAAUUUGAUCGAGUAGGGAAAUGUCCUCCACAGCUGGAUCUAAGAAGCAGUGAUUGUUGAUGAGCAGGUUCAGCUGGUGCCUAUUAAUCUUCAAACUGUCGGCACCUUUGUCUUCCACCAUGGGUGUGUGUUGAUCAAAUGCAUGUGUACCUCCUGCA